rnacentral:lncRNA from 1 species
GAAAGAGACAGUGGAAAGAUAUGACAAAUAUAAAAAAAAUUGUGAACUAUCAACUUUAAUCUUCAUUACGAAUCCUUUUCAUGUACUGAGUAUUCUCUAAACAACCAGAUAGAUAUUCGAAGACUCCGUACCUUUCAGAAGUUUAUAGAGAUUGGCAUUGACAUCAACCAGAUAAUCAAGAGUUAAAAAGGUGAUCCACUGUGUGAUACAUAAGACAAGUGUCCUUCAUAAGAAAAUUGACACAGAACUUUAUGAUGGAUAAACCAAGGGAAAGAGGAGAACAGACACCAGAAACUGGCCAUGGGAAGAGUUCUCAAUAGGGCUGAUGCUAACAAGCUCAGUGAUACUUGGUCCCUGCACCAAGACCUUGGCUGACAAGAAAAACCUCCAUGCAAUGGUGAUGGGUAUCUCAUUCAACCCAGCAUUCGCUUUAUCUUUGCCAGAAAGUUCCAGUGAUGGUUUAUAAAUAAGACCCCCAAACUUUACUCUUUAUUUGGUAUAGUGCCAGUAAACAUACUAACUUAGAGCGUAGAAUAUUCUUGGUCUACAAUUAAAACCACAUUUAAAUUUAUUUGUUGAACAGUAGUCAUAUUUCAUACAUAAUGUAAUUGAGAAAUUACUUAAUAAACUUUUAAUUUGACUUUGGAAUUGUCUUGUUAGGUUCCUGAAUAUUCUAUUAGAAAAUGAACCACGAGUCAGUGAACAAGUCAGAAUUAAAGCAACAGUCUAAAUCUUUUUGUAGACUUUAGUAUAAAAUUAUCUAUAUAUACAUAUGUCUUCAUGCGUG